GGUCAUUUUUAGGGUUCUUCAUCUUGAUUAUUCUUACUGCUAGUUUUAGAUUGAUCACCUAGAACUUGAUAUUAGAUAAUAGGUAUGCCCACCAUAG
rnacentral:sRNA from 1 species